GAUGAACGCUGGCGGCGUGCCUAAUACAUGCAAGUCGAGCGAACAGACGAGGAGCUUGCUCCUCUUACGUUAGCGGCGGACGGGUGAGUAACACGUGGAUAACCUACCUAUAAGACUGGGAUAACUUCGGGAAACCGGAGCUAAUACCGGAUAAUAUAUUUAACCGCAUGGUUCAAUAGUUAAAGACGGUUUUGCUGUCACUUAUAGAUGGAUCCGCGCCGCAUUAGCUAGUUGGUAAGGUAACGGCUUACCAAGGCAACGAUGCGUAGCCGACCUGAGAGGGUGAUCGGCCACACUGGAACUGAGACACGGUCCAGACUCCUACGGGAGGCAGCAGUAGGGAAUCUUCCGCAAUGGGCGAAAGCCUGACGGAGCAACGCCGCGUGAGUGAUGAAGGUCUUCGGAUCGUAAAACUCUGUUAUUAGGGAAGAACAAAUGUGUAAGUAACUAUGCACGUCUUGACGGUACCUAAUCAGAAAGCCACGGCUAAAUACGUG
rnacentral:rRNA from 1 species